AGUGAACGCUGGCGGUAGGCCUAACACAUGCAAGUCGAACGGCAGCACAGUAAGAGCUUGCUCUUACGGGUGGCGAGUGGCGGACGGGUGAGGAAUACAUCGGAAUCUACUUUUUCGUGGGGGAUAACGUAGGGAAACUUACGCUAAUACCGCAUACGACCUACGGGUGAAAGCAGGGGAUCUUCGGACCUUGCGCGACUGAAUGAGCCGAUGUCGGAUUAGCUAGUUGGCGGGGUAAAGGCCCACCAAGGCGACGAUCCGUAGCUGGUCUGAGAGGAUGAUCAGCCACACUGGAACUGAGACACGGUCCAGACUCCUACGGGAGGCAGCAGUGGGGAAUAUUAGACAAUGGGCGCAAGCCUGAUCCAACCAUACCGCGUGGGUGAAGAAGGCCUUCGGGUUGUAAAGCCCUUUUGUUGGGAAAGAAAAGCAGCAGGUUAAUACCCCGCUGUUCUGACGGUACCCAAAGAAUAAGCACCGGCUAACUUCGUG
rnacentral:rRNA from 1 species